GGGGUUUUGGCUCAGUGGUAGAGCACUUGCCUAGCAUGUGUGAGGCACUGGGUUCAAUACUCAAUACCACA
rnacentral:tRNA from 1 species